AGACAGCAACUAUACACAAAGGUGCUGGUAAUAAAUUUAUUAAAAUUUAAACAUUUCUGGGUCACAUGCAACAAACUUCAACAUUUCCAAGGCAAACGCUGGAAAUGAUGAUGUGCAUGACCUAUGGAAUGGUAUUUUGAAAAAUCUCUCAGUGAUGACUGAAAUAAAACUGGAUUUAAAUCGGGAUAUGCCAAUCUUAAGGAAAUGCAUGCUACCAGCUAGAAUCACGGACAUUUCUAAAGUGGACAGGACACAGGUUACUAAUGGGGUGACAUUUUGACAUAAAAGUUGUUGGCAGCUAAGCAAAUUACAAGGUAAUUAAAAAUGGAGUGCUACACAUAUUCCCCUUGUGGACACCAACCUUCAGAUAUUACCAACAAAUUGAUCAAUCCCACGGCAGCGGGCUCUGCGAUACCGGAUUGACCCGAAACAACAAGAUCCCAGUUUCGGUCAGCGGCUGCCAACCCAGUAUGUACAUGUUUGUGUUUGUUUAUUUUUCUGCAUUGGGAGCAGCAUGUCCCGGAAUGCUUGCUCCGGAUUUUAGUGGUCCGUGCCGGGAUUGAGGAAAACCCCGGACCUUGGUUCUGAUCGGAUUGUCAGAACGUCAUCCACCACAGAUCUGUUUCGGUGCGAUGUAAUGGAUGCACUUUAAGAACUGUUCCGGACUAAGGCAUUUGCGAGACUACAGCAGUCUCCAGAACAGCAACCAACACCGCAGCACCUAACGCCACAUGUUGCUAUUCCAACUUCGGAUUGUGCAUCAUUCUUGCAAUUCAAUUGCAACGGACUUCGAGGCAAAAUAGAUGAGAUAGUGGAAUUUAUGAGUCGGAGGAAUAUUAAGAUCGCAGCGGUGCAGGAAACCAAGCUGAAUGAAAAUUGCAGCCUACAACGUUGUAAUGGUUACAACGUACUAAGGAAGGAUCGCACCAGAAGUGGAGGUGGGGGAUUAGCGUUCCUGUUACACCAUUCUGUUCAGUACAGACCUAUCUCGCUUGAGCUAGUCUCUAGUGACCCAUACAGGGAAUGUAUGGGGGUAGCAGUCAAGUGUGGAACUGCCGAGGUAGAGGUGCUUAAUGUGUAUAUCCCGCCGAUUAAUAGCUGUGAACCGCGUUAUUUGCCUGAUAUUAGCCCAUUAUUGGUAGGCAAUAACCGCCUGGUACUAGGGGAUUUUAAUGCCCACCAUGAGUUGUGGUAUUCCGUCCUAGAUAAUCCACAAUCUGCACGGUUAACAAGGAUGCCCCACUCGAAUAAGAGGAGAGUGUCACAGAUCGCCAGACUUAACCAUAGUGUCACCCGGUCUGAUAAAUGACGUGACUUGGCAACCCGUCAUUUCUCUUGGCUCAGACCACCUCCCGAUAAUCGUCUCCAUAAGCAGGUCGCCCGAUUUCAUAACCUCUGAACGCUGCACUUUCCUUAACCAUGGGAAAGCUCAAACGAGCGAGAUGAUCUCCGUCGUACCAAUCCUACUGAUCCUAGAAACAGUGAUUUGACAGUGGAAGUCAAUCGUGGCUAGACCAUCUGAAGUGCUGCAACAUUGGAACCGAUAUGAGUAAGCUGUGGGUAACGGUUAAGUCGCUCUCGAACCCUGGAAAAAAGGAUGAUAGGACCUCAGUCACUUCCCAGGUGGGAUGAUAUCUUCCCCAAGUGGGAUGAUAUCUCCGGAACUGUUCAUCUACCUUUCCGGAAUUCCUCGCCCUCCAGACGGCAUUGAGAUCGUAACGUAUGCGGAUGAUUGUACGAUCAUGGCGUCGGGUCCAGUGGUCGAUGACAUAUGCGAAAGGUUGAACCCCUAUCUCACGGAGCUUGCCGCAUACUUCCACGCGAGGAAUAUGAAAAUAUCCGCCACGAAAUCAACGGCCACACUCUUUACCACAUGGUCUGCGGAGAUGAGAACACAGCUGAAUGCUCAGGUCGAGGGGAAUCUAAUACCGACCCCGAACUACCCCAAGAUUCUUGGGGUCACGUUCGACAGCAUGUUCAAGUCGUCCGCGCAAGCCACAGCUAUCUGCGACAAGAUGAAAAGUAGGAACAAGGUCCGCAAGGCGCUAGCCGGCAGCUCUUGGGUGCGGACAAGAAACCUUGUUGACCUCUUAUAACGCGAUAGGUCGGUCUGUGGUCAGCCAUGCGGCUCCAGUGUUGUCUGCGAAUACUAGUGCUACGCAGUGGAAGCAUAUCCAGACCUGCCAGAACGCUGCCCUGAGAACUGCGACAGGGUGCCUCCUCAUGACACCAGUGGACCAUCUACAUGACGAGGCGAAAGUCCUUCCCUUACGUCAGCAUAAUCAUAUGCUUUCGUUGCAGUACCUGCUGGGUGUUACCGUGAGAGUCAUCCCAACCAUCUUAUGGUGGAUAAGUAUCCCCCACCCAGGCGUGUCAGGAAGGACGUACAUGAUCUAGAAAGGGAGGUCCAGCGCUACAGGAGAGAACCUCUAGAUCAAGAAGCCUACCAGGCAGGUCUGAGUGGCAUUCACACCGAUGCAGUCGCGGAUGCUAUUAGCAGUUAUAAAGUCAAUGCCAUCCUCGGAGUCCACCCCCCAUCCAUUGCAGCUGAAGAACGUCAGCUGCCUAGACAAACCGGGGUAGUUUUGGCGCAAUUACGUUCAGGAUGGUGUAGUCGUCUCAAUUCGUAUUGGGCACAAUUUGAUGAAGAUGUGCGUGACGCCUGCCCGGCGUGCGUUACAACCCCCCACAAUACGCUACACCUUUUUAAUUGCUCAGCCAAACCUACCCAACUCACUCCAGAAGAUCUCUGGCUACAGCCCGUUAAAGUAGCCGAAUUUCUAAACCUGGAGCUGGAACCAGAUUAGCAGAACGCAAACAUAUACAUGUACUACUGCUACAACAACAACAACCAACAAAUUGAUUGUUAGUACGAGAAACAUCAUGGAAAAAUUAUUGCCUUGGCGGUGAGGAAGAUUCUCGAGUGAUAUUUGCUUUGUGUGUUGUGUUGUUUGUUUGAAAGUGCGCUGAAGCACGAACAAACGAUUUUGUUCGGCAUCGUGAAAUGAUACCCAGUAUUUAUGCCUAGACUUGAGGAAAUGAAUGUGGAAAGUAUGCGGUUUCGUUUCUGAAAGAGGUCGCAACAUGUUAUAGCGGCAGUGAAACAACAGGAUACCUGGGAGCACAGCCCGAUAAAUGGAAAGAUACUUUGACACAUAUCAAUUAAAUGGCACACCUGUGGGAAACAACAUCAUCUUCUACCUGACUAUUCGCAUCACCUGUGUAUGGAAUCACCAGCGAUUGGAAGGGGUCAAAAAUUUGUUGCAUUUUUUUCGUCAGCGCGCCAUGGAAGCAUUUGGCGCUUAAUUCUGAACGGCAAUUGGAGGCAACUGCCAAUUUUUUACAGGAGAAUCUCGGCUUGUUAGAUAAGAAUGAAAAAAUGUAUAAUUUUACCUUUUUAUUGCCGGUACUUAUCGACUUUUUCUCCUUUUAGGCAAAAGACAUCAAAAUGGUUGUUGCUGCUAACUCAAACAAGGCCAGUUUCCAUCAGCCAAACAAGACAAUCACGGGAACAAAUUUAAACACAAAUUGGGCAGCUGUUUAUCCUGGCGGGUUUCCAGAAAUUCCGGGUUUUUGCCAAAGCUGACCACCUCCCGGAAGAAGUCUGGAGGAGCCAAUAUUUCUUGUUCGGGGCUAUAGUUGGCGCGACUUUACUAUUUUGUUCGCACGUACACAUAAAUUAAAUUAUCCAAAACGAACACAAAUAAACAACCACAAUUUGACAUUAAAUUCAACAAAUAUUCCACUGUUAUUUUAUUUUGACGAUGGCUUAAUUCCCGGACAAAUGGUAUUUUUCCACAACAGAACAAGACGCAUUCACGAAAUUUUCCCCGCUACGCCUUUUUAUAGGGC